UUUGAAGGCCAAAUGGGAAGGUCUCAAGAGUGAUUCGGGAAGUGUGAAAUCAUUACUAUUUGAUAUUAAUAUUGCUCCUUUGAAUGAAGAAAACAAGAGGAGCCGGGUUGAAUCAAAGUUGAAGUAUCCUCCCUAACUUGUGAUGAUGAAGCGUCAAGCUAAUGACGAGAAAGAAGCGCUUCAUGGGAGGCAACCCAUGAGUUUACGGUCAUUUCUUCCCUUUCACUCUUAUGCUACUUUAUGAAUAAUUGUUUGAUGUUCCUUCGAAUUGGCUGGAUGAAUGUACUUUAAACUCUGAAUUUGAAUCUUUUUAUGUUUGAUUGUGGAAUUUCUUUUACCUUUGGAAUUUGUUUCGAUAUCUUGGCAUGUUCUUUUUAUUUACUUGAGUAUCAAUUGCUUGAUUCUAUCCGUGUGUGAUUUGUGAUACUUUCAGUGCAAUAGCUUGUUGCACUCAUGUGAUCAAGAGGCAAA
rnacentral:lncRNA from 1 species